GUGGGGAAUAUUGGACAAUGGGCGAAAGCCUGAUCCAGCCAUGCCGCGUGUGUGAAGAAGGUCUUCGGAUUGUAAAGCACUUUAAGUUGGGAGGAAGGGCAGUAAGUUAAUACCUUGCUGUUUUGACGUUACCGACAGAAUAAGCACCGGCUAACUUCGUGCCAGCAGCCGCGGUAAUACGAAGGGUGCAAGCGUUAAUCGGAAUUACUGGGCGUAAAGCGCGCGUAGGUGGUUUUGUAAGUUGGAGGUGAAAUCCCCGGGCUCAACCUGGGAACUGCCUACAAAACUGCAUGACUAGAGUACGGUAGAGGGUAGUGGAAUUUCCUGUGUAGCGAUGAAAUGCGUAGAUAUAGGAAGGAACACCAGUGGCGAAGGCGACUACCUGGACUGAUACUGACACUGAGGUGCGAAAGCGUGGGGAGCAAACAGGAUUAGAAACCCCGGUAGUCC
rnacentral:rRNA from 1 species